rnacentral:rRNA from 1 species
GUAGGUGGCAAGCGUUGUCCGGAAUUAUUGGGCGUAAAGCGCGCGCAGGCGGUCCUUUAAGUCUGAUGUGGAAGCCCACGGCUCAACCGUGGAGGGUCAUUGGAAACUGGGGGACUUGAGUACAGAAGAGGAAAGCGGAAUUCCAAGUGUAGCGGUGAAAUGCGUAGAGAUUUGGAGGAACACCAGUGGCGAAGGCGGCUUUCUGGUCUGUAACUGACGCUGAGGCGCGAAAGCGUGGGGAGCAAACAGGAUUAGAUACCCUGGUAGUCCACGCCGUAAACGAUGAGUGCUAAGUGUUAGGGGGUUUCCCGCCCCCUUAGUGCUGCAGCUAACGCAUUAAGCACCCCGCCUGGGGGAGUACGGCCGCAAGGCUG